rnacentral:rRNA from 1 species
AUGAAUUGACGGGGGCCCGCACAAGCGGUGGAGCAUGUGGUUUAAUUCGAUGCAACGCGAAGAACCUUACCUGGUCUUGACAUCCACGGAAGUUUUCAGAGAUGAGAAUGUGCCUUCGGGAACCGUGAGACAGGUGCUGCAUGGCUGUCGUCAGCUCGUGUUGUGAAAUGUUGGGUUAAGUCCCGCAACGAGCGCAACCCUUAUCCUUUGUUGCCAGCGGUCCGGCCGGGAACUCAAAGGAGACUGCCAGUGAUAAACUGGAGGAAGGUGGGGAUGACGUCAAGUCAUCAUGGCCCUUACGACCAGGGCUACACACGUGCUACAAUGGCGCAUACAAAGAGAAGCGACCUCGCGAGAGCAAGCGGACCUCAUAAAGUGCGUCGUAGUCCGGAUUGGAGUCUGCAACUCGACUCCAUGAAGUCGGAAUCGCUAGUAAUCGUGGAUCAGAAUGCCACGGUGAAUACGUUCCCGGGCCUUGUACACACCGCCCGUCACACCAUGGGAGUGAGUUGCAAAAGAAGUAGGUAGCUUAACCUUCGGGAGGGCGCUUACCACUUUGUGAUUCAUGACUGGGGUGAAGUCGUAACAAGGUAACCGUAGGGGAACCUGCGGUUGGAUCACCUCCUUACCUUAAAGAAGC